rnacentral:lncRNA from 1 species
ACAAAUAAAAAGGGAAAACAAAGCAGAAUUUCGAAGCCAAAAGAAGAUCCUUGGUGCUGCGGGAUCCUAGAAGACACACAGGUGCAGAGAGUCCCAGUCGUUUCGGAACUUGGUUAUUUCAUUUGUGUGGUCUCCAAAUCCAGCAUCUCUUUCCUUGUGAUCAUUCUGGUUUGUAAAGGACUGAAACAAAGGCUUUCCUCACACCUUUCUCAAUCAUGGAGCAGAAGGAAAUGCAAUAUUCCCAGGGCCUGGAAGUCGGCACCCCUUCUCUUCCAGGAGGUGAAGGAGAGAGUUCCAGCUGUCCAAACAGUGAGGCAGAGACCUCUCUUUUACCUCAAGACUGAAGGGAAUUUUACUUUACUCUGCGUAGAAGUCCUGAAGUCCAAUGUGAACACAAAAUAGGAUUUAAAAAUCUGCUUCCAGGAAAACUUCUGUGGUUACAGGAACCAUAACUGCUUGCUCUCACUCUCUGCUUCAAAAGACACACUCCCCACUCCCCAACCCCUUGGCCUUUGUCAUGUGUGAACAAAAUGUAUCCAUCCAUUCAUGUAAUCUUAUUCUUACCUUUGCUUGAAAAUGCACCAAUAAUGUUUGCUCAUUUUAAUUGUCAUUUCAAAUAAAUUUUCCAGAAUGAAAGGGCAUGAUUAUGAUCUGACUCUCAAAUUUCUAUUAAAAAAUUCAGAUUACUCGCCAGAAAUCCAGGACCUUCUCACACCAGAAAAAAAC